rnacentral:tRNA from 1 species
GCCAAUGUGGCAUAGUGGUUUGAAUGUUGGACUACGAUUCUGGAGACCAGGGUUCGAUUCCCUCCUCGGCCA